GAACCGUCUGAACCGACGUGAACCGAGGCGAACCGUUCGAACGGAACCACCGUGUUGAUUCGCCUUUCCUGCGGACCACUUGGAUCGGAUGACAAACGGGGAAGAAACUUACAAGUAUAUCUGGAAGUUCAAACAACUCGUUCCCGAAAGGAGGCGUCAAGAAUCCUCUCUCUAUUCGAAGGGAGCAGACGUGAAACAAUCUUGAAAAUGACGGUCGGACUCGCAACGCGGAAACUGUUAUUCACCGAUUUCAAUCGUACAUACGCGUUUAACCCAUUCGCAGAGUGAAACGCAACGCACAGGCCAGUCGCUAAUAUUCCAUCUUGACGAGGAGUAAAUGACUUCAGCUUGGAAUGUAUACUAUCUAGGACAUAACGCCGCGCCGAUAUUCGCCGUGGUUCAACGUUGGCUAUCGCGAAAAACCUUAUGGUAUUUCGCUAUCUUCGUCGGCUCUCUCGCGUUCCAUCGUUCAAACGUAUGUAUUCCUUGACUCAUGCUCGUGUCAAUGCGUUCCGCGUCCUCGCGAAAUUGAUAAACGAAUCCGCGACCAAUUCGCCUAACUGAUACUUGAAGAAGAACCUUGUCCUGCAUACCGAAUAAAUUUCCAAAAUAAAUU